rnacentral:rRNA from 1 species
UACGGAGGGUGCAAGCGUUGUCCGGAUUUAUUGGGUUUAAAGGGUGCGUAGGCGGUCUUUUAAGUCAGUGGUGAAAUCCUCCAGCUUAACUGGAGAACUGCCAUUGAUACUGGGAGACUUGAGUACAGACGAGGUAGGCGGAAUUGACAGUGUAGCGGUGAAAUGCAUAGAUAUUGUCAAGAACACCGAUUGCGAAGGCAGCUUACUAGACUGUAACUGACGCUGAGGCACGAAAGUGUGGGGGAUCAAACAGG